rnacentral:rRNA from 1 species
UACGAGGGGGCGAGCGUUGUUCGGAAUUUAUUGGGCGUAAAGGGUGCGUAGGCGGUUCCGCAAGUCCUGUGUGAAAUCUUCGGGCUCAACUCGAAGUCUGCACGGGAAACUGCGGGGCUUGAGUGUGGGAGAGGUGAGUGGAAUUCCCGGUGUAGCGGUGAAAAUGCGUAGAUAUCGGGAGGAACACCUGUGGCGAAAGCGGCUCACUGGCCUAACUGACGCUGAUGCACGAAAAGCUGGGGGGAGAAACAGG